rnacentral:rRNA from 1 species
GAUGAACGCUAGCGGCAGGCUUAAUACAUGCAAGUCGUGGGGCAGCAGGACUGUAGCAAUACAGUUGCUGGCGACCGGCAAACGGGUGCGGAACACGUACGCAACUUACCCUGAACUGGGGGAUAGCCCGGGGAAACCCGGAUUAAUACCCCGUAAUAUAAUGGAGUGGCAUCACUUUAUUAUUAAAGCUCCGGCGGUUCGGGAUGGGCGUGCGGCUGAUUAGGUAGUUGGUUGAGGUAACGGCUCACCAAGCCUACGAUCAGUAACUGGUGUGAGAGCACGACCAGUCACACGGGCACUGAGACACGGGCCCGACUCCUACGGGAGGCAGCAGUAAGGAAUAUUGGGCAAUGGAGGCAACUCUGACCCAGCCAUGCCGCGUGGAGGAUGAAGGCCCUCUGGGUUGUAAACUUCUUUUACAGGGGACGAAACCUGUGUAUUCUUACGCAGUUGACGGUACCCUAGGAAUAAGCACCGGCUAACUCCGUG